rnacentral:misc_RNA from 1 species
GAUGAAGAACGUAGUGAAAUGCGAUAAGUAAUGUGAAUUGCAGAAUUCCGUGAAUCAUCGAAUCUUUGAACGCACAUUGCGCCCCCUGGCAUUCCGGGGGGCAUGCCUGUCCGAGCGUCAUUUCUGCCCUCAAGCACGGCUUGUGUGUUGGGUGUGGUCCCCCCGGGGACCUGCCCGAAAGGCAGCGGCGACGUCCGUCUGGUCCUCGAGCGUAUGGGGCUCUGUCACUCGCUCGGGAAGGACCUGCUGGGGGUUGGUCACCACCAUGUUUUACCACGGUUGACCUCGGAUCAGGUAGGAGUUACCCGCUGAACUUAAGCAUAUCAAUAAACGGAGGA